UUGAGAAAAUUCCAUCACGUGUCACUAUUGUUGCCAUUUUACUAGACUGUUUUUUAUCAUCAAGUGCUAAUAUCUUAUCUAACUUCUAUGAGUUUUUUGUUCCUGAAUAUGAAAUUGUAAAUAAAAUACUAGAGCUUAUGAAGAAAAUUUUAUUUUUGAGUUCUAGGCCUGUCAUCUUUAAGUUUGACCAGUUCAAUCAGACACCAAAAGUUGUAACUUGUAACUUGUAUCUUUAACUUUUUCUUUAUAUUCACCAUCUCACAGAGUCUUUACUCUCCCUCCCUUCCUACAUCGCAGAUUCGAAUCUGCUUCUCACAGACCACAAGCAAUCCCCUUCGGACAACCCGCGAAGAGCUUCUCACGGGUUCUGCUUCUCUCUCAGGCGUCUUCUCAACUUCGUCUUCUCAUCUUCUUCUUCUCAACUUCGUCUCGCAUUCUUCCCAACCCAAACCCCCUAACCCUAACUUUAGAGUUAGGAAUCCAGAGUGGAGGUCGCCGCUAGCAGCUCUAAUAUCUAAUCUCCAUCUUCCAAUGCGCAGUUUGGAGGUUAAAAAUAGGUACACUUUGAAUAUACAUUUCCUGCGUGGGUGCAAUUGUCAUAUCAGAUAUCUAAAUGGUAGCUAGCUGUUGUGGCAUAACUUUUUAAUGUCUAAGGCGUGUGUGAGAGAGUGUGUAUGAUAUACUUGAAUUUUAAGAGGAAACACUUCUGCUUUGAUUAGGUUCGCUGAGAUAUCUGCUUUUCUUUUUCAGAGAAUUGUUGCCAUAGAUGGUUAUUUGUGCCCGUUUGCAGGACAUCGGCAGAGGAUAUAAAAUCUCUUAGAUUGAUAACAGCAAUCAAAACUCCAUACCUACCUGGUAGAUUUGAUCUAGAAGCAUAUGAUGAUUCUGCAAUUUUUGUGCUGUUUUUGGCAGGUAAAUCAGAGAAGAAACCACAUUGCAGUUCUGUUUCAAGGUUCUGAGAGACUUGGCUUGGGAAUUUUGGGCUUGCUCGUUUGUUUCCUAGUUAAUUUUGGCUAUAGCUUGGCAACGUAUUCAAAGUGAAAGCCAAGAAGUCUUGUCUUAUAAGUUGGAGUCCUUCCCAUUCAGUGCAGUUGUAUUCAAUUUGCAAAACAUUCUAAAUUUAUAACAAUUUACGCUGUCAAAUUGUAACAAUUCUAAGUUAAUUAAUGCAUGAUCUUUUUCUCAUUA